GAGAGCACAGUACGAUGAAAGUUGUAAGCUGUGUUCGGGGGGGAGUUAUUGUCUAUCAUUGGCCUCUAUGGUAGAACCCGUCGGGGAGGCCUGAGAGGCGGUGGUUUACCCUGU
rnacentral:ncRNA from 1 species